CGGUGAAUACGUUCCCGGGCCUUGUACACACCGCCCGUCAAGCCAUGGAAGCUGGGGGUGCCUGAAGUGCGUAACCGCAAGGAGCGUCCUAGGGUAAAACCGGUAACUGGGCU
rnacentral:rRNA from 1 species